rnacentral:rRNA from 1 species
GAUGAACGCUGGCGGCGUGCCUAAUACAUGCAAGUCGAGCGAACAGACGAGGAGCUUGCUCCUCUGACGUUAGCGGCGGACGGGUGAGUAACACGUGGAUAACCUACCUAUAAGACUGGGAUAACUUCGGGAAACCGGAGCUAAUACCGGAUAAUAUAUUGAACCGCAUGGUUCAAUAGUGAAAGACGGUUUUGCUGUCACUUAUAGAUGGAUCCGCGCCGCAUUAGCUAGUUGGUAAGGUAACGGCUUACCAAGGCAACGAUGCGUAGCCGACCUGAGAGGGUGAUCGGCCACACUGGAACUGAGACACGGUCCAGGCUACUACGGGAGGCAGCAGUAGGGAAUCUUCCGCAAUGGGCGGAAGCCUGACGGAGCAGCGCCGCGUGAGUUAUGAAGGUCUUCGGAUCGUAAAACUCUGUUAUUAGGGAAGAACAAAUGUGUAAGUUACUAUGCACGUCUUGACGGUACCUAAUCAGAAAGCCACGGCUAACUACGUG